AACCAAUUUGCAAAGGAAAAUGGUCUUACAACAACAUGGUGUGACAUAUUGCUCGAAAAUAAGGAAGGAAAGUCAAAAAAGAUGAUACUUUGGUGCAACAAUACCAAAAGUGAUGAAAGAAAGUAUUAUAUUUUAGGAUGGUUGUCUUCCUUUUAUGAAUCUAAUGGUUUUCAGAAAGACGAUACUAUCUGCUUCGAACUCACUAAAAACGGAGAUAAGCCAGUAAUAACAUUUUAUAGAGUGAGCAUAGCAGAAGGUGAUAAGAAGCUUUUAGAACAAGAUUUUGCAUCCUUCAAUUCAACUUGUUGCCGCUACUUUCGAUCUAUUGUCAGCAGAUCUAACCUAAGUCGCGGUUUAAUUAUAAUUCCAAAACAUUUUGCGAGGCAAAAUGGCCUUACGAGGAGAAAGUGUGACAUGGUACUAACAGAUAUAAAGGGGAGAUCACAUAUGAUGAAACUUGGGUAUGAAGGCAACAAAGAUUGUGGUAGUGAUUUUUUGCACGGCAAGCGUUCCCUCUAUAAUUCUUACGGUCUCGAGAAGGGUGACAUUGUCAUUUUUGAGCUCAUUUGCAACGGAGAUAAGCCAAUUAUGAAAAUCUAUUGUUGUACCAAGCCAGUUCGCAAAGGAAAAUGGUCUAACAACAACAUGGUGUGACAUAUUGCUCAAGAAUAAGAAAGGAAAGUCAAGAAUGAUGAUACUUUGGUGCCACAAUACCAAAAGUAAUGGAAACAUGUAUUAUGUUUUAGGAUGGUCUUCCUUAUUUUACGAAGCUAAUGGCUUCCUGAAAGACGACACUAUAUGCUUCGAACUCACUAAAAAUGGAGAUAAGCCGGUCAUGAAAUUUUAUAGAGCGAAAAAUAUUGGAGAAGGUGAUAAGGAAGUUUUUGAAAACGAAUGCGCAUCAAAUGGUUGCCUCUACUUCCAAACUUUUGUCACGAGAUGUAACCUAUUUAACGGUGUUACUGUGAUUCCAAAUUAUUAUGCGAGGAAAAAUGGCCUUACGGAAAGAAGGGGUAAGAUGGUACUAAUAGAUCAAAAUGGGAAAUCAAAGACGAUGAAACUUUGGUAUAAGGGCGAUUAUGCUGGUGAUUAUAUUUGCGGAAACCGUACCAUGUAGAAGUAUGAAGAUUAUGGUCUGAAGAAAGGUGACAUUGUCAUUUUUGAGCUCAUUUGCAAUGGAGAUAAGCCAAUAUUGAAAUUCUAUUGUAAGUUCAACGAUGCACUCUUCGUGUUCAUGAGCUUUACUCACUUUUAUUUUACGUGGUCCUCCAAUACCGAUCACAUUUCCUUUCUUCACAUUGAGUUACAUUUUAUAUUUUUUGUUUUCUUGUUUUUUAAGGUUAAAACUAGUAGGAAAUUAUAAACAAGAGAACGAAUAAAUUCUUCAAGGCACGUAAUACGCUUCCCUAAUACUUAUUUA